GAUGAACGCUAGCGGCAGGCUUAACACAUGCAAGUCGAGGGGCAGCAUGAUUUAUUAGCAAUAAUGAAUUGAUGGCGACCGGCGCAAGGGUGCGUAACGCGUGAGCAACUUGCCCUGUUCUGGAGGAUAACCGGUGGAAACGCCGCCUAAUACUCCAUGGUAUUACGUUGAGGCAUCUUGAUGUAAUUAAAGAAUUUUGGAACGGGAUAGGCUCGCGUGACAUUAGCUGGUUGGUGAGGUAACGGCUCACCAAGGCGACGAUGUCUAGGGGUUCUGAGAGGAAGGUCCCCCACACUGGAACUGAGACACGGUCCAGACUCCUACGGGAGGCAGCAGUGAGGAAUAUUGGUCAAUGGACGGAAGUCUGAACCAGCCAUGCCGCGUGAAGGUGACGGCCCUAUGGGUCUUAAACUUCUUUUGUAAGAGAGCAAUAAGGUUUACGUGUAGACCGAUGAGAGUAUCUUACGAAUAAGCAUCGGCUAACUCCGUGCCAGCCGCCGCGGUAAAAC
rnacentral:rRNA from 1 species